GGGGGAUGAAGUAUUCCACCUUAGAUAGUUUGGGGGGUUAUGUAGACUUUUUCCAUCUAGGAUUGAGGUGCAGUUCUGGAACAGAGGAAAAACUACGCGUGGACCUUCGCAGGCUAAGGCCACCAACGAACUUACGCAGCUAGGGGCAUGUUUGGAUCUCUGCGUCCCCCUCAACCAGGCUCAUGGGAUGCAAGGACGCUUGUUUGUUUGUCUGCCUCUCCCCCUUGGCCAUGCUGCGCUCGUGCAAAAGUCCCACCCCUCAGCUAGGCUCCCGAGGAAUGCAGGAAUCAGUCGUUUAUGGCGGGCCUGGCUCGCUCCGUGCUCCUGCGUGUGCGCACACAUGUGGGGAGUUCGGCCGUCAGGAGAUGGAGUGAACUCUCUCGGAUUACCUCACUCUUCCAUGCCAUUCACUACCGAUUCCCUUCUCCCAUAGCCACCCCCUCGAUUCUUCACUUGCUGCUCCCAGUCGAUUCUAUCGGUAUGUGCUCCAACGCCAUCUCCUCUUCUCUACUUCGUUGUUCAUCGAUUCGUAGUCUGAUGAUCCUUUCUCUAUCUCUCUCUCUCUCAUUGUGUGGAUCUGAGCCCUUUUGAGGCAAGUAAUUUAUCCUCUUCUAUCUCCCUCUUAUUCUUGAUUUGGAAACCCUAACUCAGUUUUUUUAACAAUCUCAGGUGCACUAGAUCUGAGUUCUAAGCUAUUCUUGAGGUAUGAAUCCAUGUUCUUUAUGGUUCCUUUACUUUCUCCUCUAUUUUUAGUAACAUACCCUUGACAUGUGUAUGCAAAAUCUAUUUUUUAUGUAGACUUGCAGAUCUACCCUCGCUCGCUUGUUCUUAUGCUUUUAUUUGGUGCCCUGCAAGAUCUUGUUCGGUAUAUGAGAUACUUAAUCCCCUCUCUCAUCCCUCCCUUUAACCUAUAGUGUUAUUUUUUUAGCACAUCUUCAAGUCUAUGAUGAAGGCCAUUUUAAACUAAACCUAUGUCUUAGUCUAUGAUGAUGGCAAUUUUGAAUCAGAGCAUUUGUUCUAGUCAAUGCUGAUUACAAUUUUUUAAUUCUGAGCAUUUGUCCUAAUUUAUGGUGAUGACAAUGUUAAUCUGAGCUUUGUUCAUUGAUUGGUAGUAUUGUGUCCUUCCAAAUGUCUUGCUUUGCAUAUGAUGGAUUUGCAUGAGAACAAAUGCUUGCUUUUUUGCUCAGGCUACUACUCUUAUUACGGCCUCAGAUCACUGUGGGCAAAUGCAUUGAUGAAUAUUUUUUCCCUAGGAUACUACACUUGAUCUGAGACAUAGGACAUAUGCAAUGAUGAUUAUUUUUUUCUAAGAUACUACACUUCAAAUGAGACUAUGGAUAUAUGCAAUGCUAAUUUUUUCCCUAAGGUACUACACUUGACCUGAGACUGUGAACAUAUGCAAUGCUCAAUUUCUAUGGACAUAGACUUGAGCAUGAGACAUGUGCAAUGAUGUUUUAUUUUUUCUUUUUGAAAUGAGGCAUGAGGCUUGUGCAAUUAUUUUUGUUAUCUUUGUUUUUUUUACCUGAGGCAUGAGGCAUGUGCAAUUACUUUUGUUUUUUGAUGCUACACUUAUCUGAGGCAUGAAGCUCGUGUUUCAUGGAGUUGAUGCCUGAGGAGCUGAUGGCUGCUGAUGAGCGUGUGUGUUCUAGACCUGAAGUUGGGACUGAGCAGUUUGCUUUGCUUGGGGUUGUUGUUGCUGACAAUGCUACUGCUACUAGGGUGUUCGGGUAAACAUUGUUUUGCCUUUGCUAGUUCUUUUCUUAUGUUGCCAUUGAUGUGAACUUGAUUAUCUUAAUCUAAUUUGAGUAUUUUGGCUAUUUGUCAUUGAUGUGAUAUAUUUCCUUCUAAGCAUUUGUCUUAUGCCAAUAAUGAUGUUUUUUAAACCGGAUACAUGCCUUAUGCCAAUAAUGAUGUUUUUAAUAUACUGAGCACAUGUCUUUUUUUUAUAAUGAGGCAUUUCACGGUUCACAAGUUGGAGAAAAAUUAAAGCAUACAAUGGCAUAUUUGGAGUGGAUCCUGUAGUAUGUAUUAUAAAGAAGGAUAUUGUAAUUUUAGUGGAGGGUCUAAUAAUAGUCUAGACUUUAGUGAUUUUAAUUUUUUCCAAAAUGAUGUAAUAUUUAUUGUAGAUAAAUUGUUGUAUCAAUGUUUGGACUUGCUGACUGUAACCUUACCACUCAAACAAAGUGGUAACUCCACCACCUUCUAUCCGGGCAACCAAACAUGGUUCCUGCACCCUCAAAUGGAUAUAUGCAAUGAUGAUUUUCCCCCUAAGAUACUACACUUGAGCUGAGAAUGUGGACAUAUGCAAUACUCACUGUGGACAUAGACUUGAGCAUGAGGCAUGCGCAAUGACGUUUUCUUUUUUCUUUUUGAAAUGAAACAUGAGGCUUGUGCAAUUAUUUUUUGCUAUCUCUGUUUUUCACCCGAGGCAUGAGGCAUGUGUAAUUUUUUUUUGAUGCUACACUUAUCUGAGGCAUGAAGCUUAUGUUUCCUAGAGUUGAUGCGGAGCUGAUGGCUGCUGAUGAGCUUGUGUGUUCUAGAGCUAAAGUUGGGACUAGGCAGUUUGCUUUGCUUGAGGUUGUUGUUGGUGCUGCUGGCAAUGCUACUGCUGCUGGGGGUAUUUGGGUAAACAUUGUUUUGCCUCUGCUAGUUCUUUUCUUGUGUUGCCAUUAAUGUGAACUUGAUGAUCUGAAACUGAUUUUAGCAUUUCGGCUAUUUGCCAUUGAUGUGAUCAUUUCCUUUUGAGCAUUUGCCUUAUGCCAAUGAUGAUGUUUUUUAAACCAGAUACAUGCCUUAUGCCAAUGAUGAUGUUUUUAAUAUACUAAGCACAUGCCUCAUUCUUGUUUUAAUAUACUGAGCACAUGUCUUUUUUGUACUGAGGCACAUGAGACAUUUCAUGGUUCACAAGUCGAAGAAAAAAUAAACAUACAAUGGCAUGUUUGUAGUGGAUCUUGCAAUAUGUAUUAUAAAGAAGGAUAUUGUAAUUUUAGUGGAGGGUCUAAUAAUAUUAGUCUAGACUUUAGUAAUUUUAAUUUUGCUUUUCAAAAAGAUGUAAUAUUCAUUGUAAAUAGAUUGUUGUAUCAAUGUUUGGACUGUAACCUUACCAUUUAAACAAAGUGGUAACUCCACAGCUUCUAUGCGGGCAACCAAACAUGAUUUCUGGGAACCAAACACCGGUUGCAUGUGUCCAGGCUGCACAGACCCAGGUAACCAAACAACCACCCUUUACAUGCAUAGAGUCUGGCCAAAAGAGGUCUGGCUGGCUCGUGCAAGCCAGACUAGACUAGGAAGUGAAUCAAACAAGCCCUAGAGCUCCGGGACCGUCGUGUGCUUUGCAGGCCUGAGUUGGACCUCGUGGCUGCAGAUUUUUUUUUUUAUUUUUAUACUUUCUCAAUUAGUUUUUUCUAAAAAUAUUGGUCUACCAAGCUAUAGUAUGAGAUCUUAACCUUUUGCCAUACGCAGUUGCAGAUGUAGAUGCUCAUACACGAGUGUACACUCACCCCUAUAAACAUACACCUACACUCUAUCCAUAUGAGCACCUCCAUUUACUUAUGAAAGAUGCUCUAUGGAAGGAUGUGAAUAAAUUGUCUCGAUUUACUUACUAGCUAGCAGUAUAUUUUAAAAACAACAUAACUUGUUAAUAUAACCUCGUACAGGGAUAACAUUUAUAAAAAAAUUGUACAUUACAGAUACCUAAGAUCUUCAAUUUCAUAAUUUACAAUAUUUUUGUUUAAAACCAUCUUGAUAACUGAAUAAUUAAUUUAAUGUUGAGAUAUAGAAGUACACAUCUGGUCAUUGUAUCAGUUGUUUAGGUAUAAAAACGACCUCAAUGAAAAAGCCAUGAACUGUAAAGGUGCAGAUCUCCUUUUUCUCUAUAACCUUAAUAUAAAUUGUAUCUACAUCUGAGUUCAUAUUUAUAUAUAAAAGUUAUAAUUUCUAAGAUGAGUUGACAGAAGAAAAAAAGGAAAUUCCUCUAAUUGAAACAGCAAUAGCCAAUAUUCUGAACCGGCGAUGUGUACUUCCUAUCACUUCAAUUGAUGGCAGUA
rnacentral:lncRNA from 1 species